UUUUUCAAACUCUAGACUGAGUUAUAUAAGUGAGGUGACAUUUAAUUUGGGAAAGGAGACUUCUUUCCCACCAUGGGAAAGUCUUUUCUAACCAUUGGAUCAUACAAAGAACACACUAUUACAAUAGUCUCUCAACACUAGAUUCUUAUCUUACUAUCUUCACUAACCAUUGAAACUUGGAUUCUUUUCCACCUUUUUCUUCUUAUCUUUGUCUUUCUUAUGUUCAUUCUCCUCUACAUCAGUUUUGUCCUUCUUUUCCUUCUUCUUCUCCAUAUCCUUCUUUUCCCUUUUCUCAUCGUCUUUAUCUUCAUCCUUAUGUUUCUUCUCUCUCUCUACUGAUUUAAUCUCCAGAUCUUUUUCUAUCUCAACCUUAUCUUCUUUUACAUCACCUGCUGAUUUAUCAUCAAUCUUGAUUGGAAUAUUGGAUUCUUCCAUCUAUACUAUCUUACCUGACACACUGAUAUCUACAUAAAGAUUUUUUUGUACAAACAAUCAAAUCUGAAUUUUAAUCCAGAUACAUCUAAUUCUAAUUUAAUUU
rnacentral:lncRNA from 1 species